CCCCUGGAGAAGGAGAUGGCAACCCACUCCAGUAUUCUUGCCUGGAGAAUCCCACGGAUGGAGGAGCCUGGAGGGCUACAGUCCGUGGGGUCGCAAAGAGUCGGACGCGACUGAGCGACUUCCCUCUCACUCUCUUUAUGCUCAGCGGACUUUGAGGACUAGGCUGCCUUCAGCAUCCUUUUUCAGCUGUCCCCUGGACCUGGCGACACACCCCCUGUGUGUUGCGGAAUGGCCCUCAGGGGUGGAGAGUCCGCACCCUCCGUGAGGACUCCCUCAGUAGCAGCUGUGAGAAGAACUGAGGAGCGAGAGCAUUUGCCCGGACGUUCGCAGAGCGGUCGUCGCCGCCGGCGUUGGUCCCCAGGUGUGGGACCCGCCGACGGAGGAAGACCGCAUUUUCCUUCCGAGAACAUCGAUCGCCAUAAACACGCCCUACUUUACGGGGCUCUCAGACCUGAACGCCACGUCCACCGGAGAUUCAGACGGUCCGAUGGAAAUUGCACUGGUGAUUUAAACGCAGGCGAAUGAAAGUUUUAAGGGUGUCAGUGGGAGAUGGUACAAGCCUGUCCCAGGAUGUUGGUACAAGCCUGUCCCAGGAUGUAGGUGACUUUACGGCUUACCCAGUCUCCUAAGAGAGCACCCGGGCUCUGUUGCUCCACAGCAUGUGGGGUCUUCCCGGACCAGGAAUCGAACCUGCGUCCAUUGUGCUGGCAGGCGGAUUCUUCACCACUGGGCCCCCACCGGGGGCCGGCCCACGAGCACACUCUUUAGGACCCGACUUGGAAUUCUUGACUGUGACGGCCAGUAUUCACACGAGGUGCUCCGGGCUCCAAACAUCCCAUGUCUGGUCCGUACCUCGGAACAGAGUACUCCCCUGGGUUCUGAACAUCUCAAGACCGUAAGAGAAACAGACGGUCACGACCCAGCCACGCGCCCAUCUUCGCUAAACAAGUGAUGGGACUGGUACUCAUUAAAAAAGCGUAACCCUUCAAAAUUGUGACAGCUUGUUGCUCUCGUGGCCUGAGUCCGUGUCCGAAAACACAUCAGGUCCCAGUCUCUAGAAUCUGGGAACGUGAUGUUUUUUGGGAGAAGUCUUUGCAGAGCUCAGCCCUGCCUGAAAAUCCCAGCUAUUCAAGGUUUGAAAAGCGAGCGUGAAGGUGACCAUGAGGAGGGACAGCCUUUGCAAACGUGCUCUGAGAAUGGAACCAUGAUGUCUCCUGAACCCUUCUGGUCCUUGAUUGCUGAACUCUGACCCUCCGGGAAGUCCUUGUCCAUCCAUACGCCCGCCCUGCCCGGGCUGUUGCCUGGGAACCGGGAGGCUCUGGAAAUGCCGAGGGAUCGAGGCAGGUCACCAGCAGAGAAGUGGAAACAGACACUCAACCUUCAGAUCCAGGUCAGCGCUCCUCCGCGUCGGCGGAGAGCACACAGCCUUCCACGUCGGUCUGGUGUGUCUGCCGAGCGGAACUGGAACACCCUCUGCCAGAAGACGUCGACGACGACGGGCGAGGUUCUAUUUUUUUCCUCUCGCUGAGAUGGUUUUGCAUUCAUUACAAGUCAAGCUGUUUCACAGAUGCCCGUUGGACAGAGAAAGGAAGCUGCCUCUUCUCACCAGCCAGGGGUCUCCGAGGAUAAUCGAAGCCCCCAGGGGCGUUGGAGAAGACUCUUGAGAGUCCCUUGGACUGCAAAGAGAUCCAGCAAGUCCAUCCUAAAGGAAAUCAGUCCUGAAUAUUCACUGCAAGAACUGAUGCUGAAGCUUCGGUCCUUUGGCCACCUGCUGUGAAGAACUGACUCACUGGAAAAGUCCCUGAUGCUGGGAAAGAUUGAGGACCAGAGGAGAAGGGGACGACAGAGGAUGAGAUGGUUGGAUGGCAUCACCGACUCAAUGGACAUGAGUUUGAGCAAGCUCUGGGAGAUGGUGAUGGACAGGGAGGCCUGGCGUGCUGCGGUCCAUGGGGUCGCAAAGAGUUGGGCAUGGCUGAGCGAGUGAACAACUACCUCCUCAGCAACAAAGGUGAGCAAAGGACAAGAAGAAUCAGGCUUCCCAAAAGAGGACUCACGUAGGCAGAUUCUUUACCCGCCGAGCCACCUGCGAAGCCCAAGAGAUGGAACCACUUAAGAAGUCAGGGGCUGUCUCGGUGAGAGUGAUGCCAACUGCUUUGACAAAGAGCCCCAGAAUUUUGUCAUCUUACCGCAAAGGGCAUGCCCCGAAGCAUGUGGGACGUCAGUUCCCUGACCGGGGAUCAAACCCGGGACCCCUGCAUUGGAAGUGCAAGAGUCUCAACUUCCGGACCGCCAGGGAACUUACCAAAGGACCUUUCUCCAUGUGUAGUUUCUCCGCAAGACAGCCUGUGCAAACCCGUUUCUUCACGUUCUGCUGCAGCGCUGGUGGCCGUGGACAAGAAGUCACUUCUCUCCGGAAGGACAGAGUUUUUGGACGGCCCUGCCUUUUUGAGCCCAGCGCCAUUUAGCUGCAGAGAGAUCAGGCGGCUUCAGUUCUGUGUGGCCUCCUCUUCCGCCCUUGGUCUUCUCUGGUUGCGGUGUGUGGACUCCUCACGGCGGUGGCUUCUCUUGUGGAGCACUGUGGCCUCCUAGGGCCUCCUAGGGCGCGAGGGUUUCAGUAGCCGCGGCUUCCGGGAUUUGUUGCCCCAUGGCACGUGGGAAUUGCCCCGGACCAAGAAUCGAGCCCGUGUCUCCUGCAUUGGCGGGCAGCUUCGUUACUGCUGAGACACCACGGAAGUUGCAGUCUCUUGUUUUGCGACACUGACUACAUGGUAACGUGACCUGGGGAUCUGAAUAACAAAUCCAGGGCUAGGUUCUCAAUCCAGGAGAUUUCGUUUCAAUGCACCUGCCCCUCAAAAUCUGUGGUCCAUGGACCCAGAGCACGGGUAUCACCUUGGAGGGGCGGGAAAUGCAGAAUUUAGGGGCCGCUGCUUCAGAUACGGCAAGUCAGAAUCUCUGUUGUGCCUGACUCUCUGCGACCCCACGGACGGUAGCCCGCCAGGCUCCUCUAUCUGUGGGAUUGUCCAGGCAAGGAUACUGGAGUGGGUUGUCAUGUCCUUCUCCAGGGGAUCUUCCCCACCCAGGGAUCGAACCUGCGUCUCCUGCAUUGCAGGCAGAUUCUUUAGCACCAGAGCCAUCUUUGUUCAGUUGCUCGGUUGCGUCUGACUCUUUGUGACCCCAUGAACCACAGCACACCAGGCUUCCCUGUCCAUCACCAACUCCCGGAGCUUGCUCAAACUCAUGUCCAUCGAGUCGGUGAUGCCAUCCAACCAUCUCAUCCUCUGUCAUCCCCUUCUCCUCCUGCCCUCAAUCUUUCCCAGCAUCAGGGUCUUUUCCAAGGAGUCCGUUCUUCACAUCAGGUGGCCAGAGUAUUGGAGCUUCAGCUUCAGCAUCAGUCCUUCCAAUGAAUAUUCCCAAGUAAGAAUCUGUGCUGUCCCAAGAUGCCUGGGUGACUCAAAAAAACGUUGAGACUUUAGAAGCCCUAACCUAGUAAGAUUUCUCAGAUCCAUAUGUUAUGGGGUUUUCUCCUUGCAAAGCAUGACACGUCAUACUGUAUCUCCUGAAAUUAGAAUCUCUUACCAGGCAGUCCAUCCACGAAAACCUUCUCCCCCCACCCCCAAGCACCUCCUUCACAUGACUGAGAGACACAGCCUCUGCAUUUUUAUUUUAUUUUUAGAUCUCUUUAAUAGACACUUGCCCCCACAACCCUUUAAUUUAACACAGCAUCCAUGAUGAGCCAGAAACGAACCUGAAACCUCUUUCAAAGAAAACAGUGUUGAGAAAGAAUCUUUUGACACUUCAUCAUUUUUUUCUCCCCCUAAACCAAAGCUAACCACCGCUCCCUCCCCCUCCCCCUCUAGAGCCGCAAACCAUCCACUCCCUUUCCAGGGCAUCAUGGCACUCUUAAAAACAAAUUAUACAUAAAAAAUUCGCCACCACAAAUUCCCAGAUGAUCAGUAACGGGGCAAGUAGGCACAGCUCAAGAAGAAGCAAGAAAAAAAAAAAAAGUGGGGAGGGGAAAAAAAAAAAAGGAACCAUUCUUUCCGCGAUGGCUUUAUUUUUUUAAUUUGGAAAUUGGCUUCCUUUUUGAAUUUGUCUUCCAAGAUGUACAGUGGCUUAAGCGGUGGCCCCUUGCCAUCUGCUUUACUCAAUUUGAAACUCCUCUCAUCAUAGUAUUUUUUUUGACCACCACUUUCUCUGUUCUUUUCAUCUACCUGCUCCGUGACAGUGAAAAUGUGCAUUUGCUCUGAACAGCUGCAGUUUUCGAGGUCUUUGCCAGAAUCCUCAAAGCGGAGGCAUUUGCUUCUCUUUGUUAAGUUUAAAUUUUUUUUUUUUUUCAUUUACACACUGCCACGCUGUAGAUUGUGGGUGAUUCCAUUCAUGUCUGGUGCUUGUCAUGAAUCUUCACUGUUUGCAUUUUGCUUGAAGAUGUGUUAUGUUUUGCAUUUAUCGCAUAGUCUUACAUUAUAUGAGGGUGGCUCAAAAGGUAAGGAAUCCGCCUGCAUUGCAGGAGACCUGGGUUUGAUUCCCUGGGUCAGGAAGAUCCCCUGGAGAAGGGAACGGCAACCCACUUCAGUAUUCUUGCCUGGAGAAUCCCAUGGACAGAGGAGAGACUGGCGGGCUGCAGGCCACAGGGUCACAAAAGAGGCGGACACAGCCGAGUGACUGACACUUACACUUUUCGUGUAGUAAAAUUAUGGCAGACGUUUGUGUGUGGGUUGUGGUCCCUCUGUAAAAACAGUUCCAGUAAAAAUGUCUCAAGUGUCACUCUCCUCCCUAUCUUCUGCAUGCAGUCAAAUUAAAGAUUCAAAGUAUUUCUGGAACAUCAAAGGUGACCUCUGACUCCAGAGCUAAAACAAAAGACGUUUCCAGCCUUUUGGAAGGAUGUCGCUCCUAUUUUCCAAACGCUGGUCCUCUAAUAGUUUGCAAAUGCAAAAGGCAUCCUUUAAAGAAACACCCAGGAGGCAGGGGGCUGGAAGGAAUCAAAGCAACAUCGGAUGCACACGGUAGUGUCACAUCUGGGGAGGAAUGUUUUAAAAUACUUUCGGUCCGCAUUUCUGCUUUCAAAGAAAAGCCUCUGUUUCCUGUGGGUUGAAUGGUUUGUCUGUUUGCCUCCUGAUUGGGAGAUGGGAGGAGAGAGGACACACCAGGGCCAGCGAGCAGGUUCAGUUUGAAUGCACGACUCCUAACGCGCUGGGAUUGGAGCCAGACGGAGGAAUCCUUCCACCAAAAGACAGCAAUAUGAUGAUAAUAACGCGAUGCAUCAUGGCAAUGUUGAUACAUAUGCUAUAAUAUGCUACUAUAUAUUAUUACUGUGUAUAUAAUGUAUAAUUAUAAUACUAUAUAUUAUCAUAUAUAAUAAUGCUAUAUAUUAUGAUAUAUAUAAUAUGUAAUAUACUACUAUAUUAUUACCAUAUAUAAUAAUAUAUAUAUCACUACCAUAUA